UCUAUUUUUCUUAUUAUCAUUAUUAGAAGAAAAGCAUACUUCUGAUCAACACCGUUAAAUAUAAUUUUGACAAUUUGGAUCUCAUAAGACCCAAAUUUCAUAAGUUUAAGUGGCGUCAAAUUCAUCUUAUACUAACCAUUAAAAGUAGUAAAUUUUGAAAUCACUUGAAUGUAAGACGUUAAGAAGUUCAAAUAAGUUAGAUCAAAUUUAAUAAUGCUGAUCGUCAAAAAUAACAUAGAAGUAAUUAAAUAGUCUAGUUUACUUCUAAAACUAUUUCUAUUAUUAUUAGUAUCAUCAUUAUUAUUGGAUAUUGAAAAAUGAGCAGAGUCAGGGCCAAACCGAAACGAGCUCUCAUUCAAUUAGUCGAAUUUACGAGAUGCCCAAAUUAGAAUUGGUUUUGAAAUCAUGAUCUAAAUUUUUGACCAUAAGAGAAAAAGAAGAUUUGGGUCCAAUUCGGAACCGCCCAAUAGUUUUUUCAUGUUUGCAUAUUUGUUUUAGAAACCUAGUUUGGAUAUUAACAUAAAGCAUAUAGACAUUUUGGUGACUGAGUGCGACAUAUAUAUAUAUAUAUAUAUAUAUAUAUAUAUAUAUAUAUAUAGAGAGAGAGAGAGAGAGAGAGAGAGAGUUGAGCUGGAAUGCUAUUGGUAGCAAACGGGCUCCCUUGCCACCCAUUUGUUUUCGAUGAUGGAGCCUUCGAAUCGACGAUCGGCACCGUUAAACAUGAUUUAUACACUUGAAGUAUUUAGAAACCAAAUUUCAAAUCUUUUCAAUAUUAUUGACCUAAUGAUCAAAGGGUUUCAAAAUUUGUAAUUUUAAUGAUAGAUACGAGGUGUUUUCACGUUUAACAGUGUAAAGCUAUCCAAAUCAAUUAAAUUUUGGUUAGAAAAUUAUUUAAACUACUUAAAACAAGAUAUAUACUCUCAAUCUUGAUUAUAAAUUCAUAUCAUCACUUUUUAGAGGAUAUUCAUUUUCAGCCGUUCAUUUUUUGCGCCCAGCUGAUGGACAAGAGAAUAAUAUUGAAAAAGCAUGAAAUUUGAUUUAUAGAUACUUUAAGCGGUAUAGAUCACGUUUAACGGUGUCGAUCAUUGAUUUGGAGGCUCCAUCAUCAAAAAACAAAUGGGUGGCAACGAAGCCGGUUUGCUAUCAAUAGUAUUCCAGCUCAACUCUAUAUAUAUAUAUAUAUAUAUAUAUAUAUAGAGAGAGAGAGAGAGAGAGAGAGAGAGCGAGAGAGAGAGAGAGAGAGAGAGUGUGUGUGUAAUAUAAUUCGUUUAUUUCUUUUUAGAUCAGUUCAGUUAGAAAUUUAAAAUAACUAAGUUUCGAACUUGAGAUCUCACGUAACAAUCAUUAGUUCAUUUGACACUUACGCUAGGAAAAGACCCAAAUUCGAAACCUAAGCAUUUC
rnacentral:lncRNA from 1 species